ACGGAACACCGUCGACGACCGACGUCAGUGUAAUCGUCACCGCACGCCCAUGUGGAUUGCGUCACGUUGCGUCAUUACAAACCUAAUAUGUUACUUAUUCUGUGACGUGUUAUUACUACCUUAAAGUGAUUUUAUUUGCUUACAUGAAUUGUAAAAACAAUACAAAGUGAACAACAAACAUAGUAAAAGCAACACAAAAGAACUACCAUAGAUUAAUUGAGAUCAUUUUUCAUUUUUAUGCACUAAACGAUAUUCAGCAACAGAUAAUGCAAAUGUCCUGUGCUACUGUAAGGGAGUGAAAUAUCAUAGGCGAGUCGAGGCAAUCCGGCAUCCGUGUUCAAGUACCUAAGGAGCAACUUCCAUAAUGCAAGAUGGCCAUAACCGAUAGGCUACGGAUAGGCGGUGGCAAGUUGUUCCAGAUUUUGCUCGCGGAGUACCGGAAACUGCCUCGAAAACUAGCGGAGCUGUGCUUAUGCUGUUUGAGCAUGUAUGUGGUCGCCCUGGUACCAUACGAGGUAUUUUCGUCUCUCGCCCAUCGCAGUUGUUUGUAAAGAACGUAUGCGAUGAGACAUGGAGUUGGCAUCUUUUCGAACAAAGAUACGACCUGCGUUUGACCAGAUGAACUUCCACGCCUUGCGUCGACCUUCUUCGCGAGCCUUAAAGAAUAGCUUGGCGUUCGUUCUUGUCAGACGUUCAUUAAUAUAAAAACGUCGCGGCUGUCCUUCAAUAAUGCCCGUCGAGUCCACAGUACGACGUACUCGUGCCGCCCGUAGUAGCUGAUCGCGCACCGCACGUCUAGUGAGGCGCACAAUGAGCGGCCGGGGGUGCGGUCGCCCCUCGCCUUCAUUGAGACCGCGGCGGGUCCCGCACGCUCAGCUGAGACUAUAUCCCUGUCAUCCAGCGUAAUACCGAUUUUGGACGCCACCAAGCUGAUAAUCUGAACUGUAUUUUCCGCUGGCUUUUCUGCUAGGCCCUGUAUAACAACGUCAUUUAAAAGAUUUUCUUGCUCUUUUUCGUUUAGUUCUUGUCGUAGUUGCGUUAUUAUAUCUUGGUCCGCGGAAACCACAGAGGCAUUCGGACAAUCGGCAAUACGUAAUUCUAACGUUGAAAGUCUCUCCUCUAUCUUAUCAACCCGUGUGUUGAAGUCAUUUAUUGCGGUAUUGAUGUGCGUAAGCUCUUGCCUAAAUUGCGCCAUCUAUCGCCCAAACGUUGAAAGUUCAGUUCGCAGCAAUCUAAUUUCCUUGACGAGAGUCUGUGAGCCGCCGUCGUCAUGCUAGCGUCAACAAAAGUAUCCUCACUCAUUUCUGGCACGGGGGGGUCUGGGGAGUUAUUAAGAGGUUUAGUCUUCCCCUUGCAGUCACGACAUUGCCAUUUUGUCGGCGCCAAACCUUUCGGGCUUAUGUUAACGCAGGCUCGAUGGUACGUGCUUGUACAACGAGAACAUUUAGCACUAUCUACCGUUGCUAUGAAAUUACCACACAGAUUGCAUUUAUUUGUCAUUGUAAAAAAUAUUCAAUUACAACUACUUUUUAAAUGAAAACACUCAGAUUGUUUACUAAAUUGCACUUAACACUAACUAUUGAGAUUAUUUUAAAUGUUUUAUGUACUAUUCCAAAGUUCAUAUAGUAAUGAUUAUAUUUUUAUGUAGCACUGUUCACUUGUGUUUUUAAUAAAUGUUUUUCUUUAUAUAAAAAGUU